GGUGGGAUGCUGGAGAGGUCUAACAGGCUGGUUUCGAAAACCAUGCGAGCCGUAAGGUUCACGGGGGUUCAAAUCCCUCUCCCACCGCCG
rnacentral:tRNA from 1 species